rnacentral:rRNA from 1 species
AUGUCUGGGCAUGGGUCGUCGGGCAAGCACCCCUUCUACCGCGGCAUCCGGAGCCGGUGCGGGAAGUGGGUCUCGGAGAUCCGGGAGCCGCGGAAGGCCCGCCGCAUCUGGCUCGGUACCUUCCCGACGGCCGAGAUGGCCGCCGUGGCCUACGACGUGGCCGCCCAGGCGCUGCGCGGGCCCGACGCGGCGCUCAACUUCCCCGCCUUGGCCGCCACGCGCCGCGCCCCGGCGUCCGCCUCCGCGGACGACAUCCGCGCGGCGGCGGCCGCCGCAGCUGUCUCCGUCCAGCACGAUCGCGCCGGCGGCGGCAUUGCCCCCGCGGCUGCUGGAUCCGCACUGCAGCUGCAGCAGCAGCUGAGCGGGGGCAGUGCCGCCGCUGCCUCGGCGAGCGGCGCGGCCCAGCAGGAUCAAGCCGGCAUUGGGUUCAACCAGUUCUUCCUGGACGAGGAGGCGCUCUUCGAGACGCCGCAGUUCCUGCGCAGCAUGGCCGCCGGGAUGAUGAUGAGCCCCCCAAGGCUCAGCCCCGACUCCUCCGACGAAUCGCCGGACCCUUCCGAGGCCGGGGAGAGCCUCUGGAGCUACCGCGACCCGUAG